UCCUGCCAGGUCACAGGGCAGUAUUUCUCUGAAGCGGACAAUCUGCAGGAGUUCAGUCGUAAUGAAACAGGAUAAAGUGUGUUUUCGUAAACACGGAAAGGACGCAGGCUCACGCUGCGAAAACAGCUGUGAAAACUGUUGGUGUUUCGGAUUCUGACUUUCUCAGCUUCAACUUUUAAGAUAUUUAAUUCUUCACAGAAUAUUUAAACAGGAAACAGUGAUUCUGAAGGACAGAGCUGCAUAGUUCAUCAUUGACAAGCUAAUGCAUUUAUGGUCCGAAUAGCUCUCCUCACCCCCAGACUUCAGGCUUACAGUGGAAUCCAAGAAAACCAGUUCUCCACAAAGUGACUCUGUUCUCAAUCACACUGCCAAAAUAUGAAACUGCGUUCAUAAUUCAGAUGCCGUACACCAAGUACAUCUCCAGCAUGGAGGUCUCAAGAUCUUUUUGGAGUGCAAGGGCAUCACCUGUGCUUACAAAGAGGUGGAGCUCAGGUACGGACCCAGCUAUCACCCACAUCUGAAUUUCUCAUCUGCAGAGCCAGCUAUCGGGUACCAGCCUGAAUUUGCAAGUGCACAGUGACAGGCAGGCUUUGUGGGCGAGGGAAGAUAAGAAGUAGGUGCAAAGUUUGCAGCAGAUCAAUGUGGACAGCACGGACAUGC